CAAGUCCAUAUGACCCAUUUAUAGAAUUUAAGAACCCUAACCACCCAGAUACGGCCACUGCAAAAAUCUAUCAUUAAAACCUAACUAACGUACUAAUUUUCUAUCACCUCAUGAACCCUCAAUAAAAGCACAAUUGGUUACUGCAACCACCUUUUUCCACCAUUAAGCCCAAUAUCUCUCACAUUGUCUCUCCCAUCUACAGAAUUAGAAAAGAAGCAGAAGAAGAUGAAAGAAAAUCAAGAAAGUAGAAGAAGAAGAAACAAAAGAAAAAGCAGUGACACAAAUUUUUUUUUCUUUUUUUGGGGGUCUCUUCUAACUUUCUGAUUUUGUGUCUGCCACAAACAUUAAUGCAUUCUGUCUCUGAGUUCUUGUUCUGAUUUUCCAGCCAUCUGCCCUCCUUCCAUUGUGUGAAUACAGGGUGCUUAAAUGCGUUCUUGUUGCUUCUCUGCUGAAGCAAACACCCUUAGGCAAGGAUCGUCAAGGUUAAACUGAAACAAGUUUGAAGAGUGGCUUACCCUGGCAAGCCAUUUUGGUCACGCAUUCACUCCGCCUACAGAACUUUUAAUCCUUUCAACUGUGCACUUGAUAAGAUUGUUAACAGUUGCCACAGAUCCAAGAG